GCUGAGUUCUUAUACUCCUCUGCGUUUGUCCUGCUUCAGGAAGUAGAUGUACUUUAUCUCAAAUAUUGCAGACAACCUACAGAUGUGACCAGUCCCUGAGACCAGCAGUGCAACCCCAGGUCUAUGUAUUCUUCCUUGAUUCUAUGCUGGAGAAAUGCAGCAGAAUCAGACAGUUGUCACCAAUUUUGAACACUGAAGUCAGGAAAGCUUUGAUGCGUGGUGCAAAAGUCAGAUGCAGAAAUGAGGCUCAUCUUUUGGGGUAUUUUUUCAUCAUUUGUUUACUGCUGCUGUUCUAAUCACUGCCUCUCACUGAUUUGAGCAACAGUCACACUCAGGCAAGAAAUAAGUGAACUCACAACAGCUCGUUUCACUUCUAUGAAUUGUUGCUGCUAUCCAGCAUGUGAAAUGGGUGCCACAACCGCAGCCUGUGGCGCUGCCCGGCUCCCGCUCCCUCAGCUGCCUGGGUUGGGUUUCAGCAGCUCUUAUGUCUUUGGACCACCUGCUUUGUGCUGGGACUUUGCCAUCAGGCUCUCAGGGUGGGAAGGAGGUGCUGAGAAGGGUAUGCAGGAAAAAACAAAACAACUAAAACAAGGCAAGAUCACUUCUCCAAAACUUUCUAGACAGGAGUUUCCUCUGUUUGAGGAAAGAAAACCAGAUAGCAUUAUCAAACACUUCAGCAGUGAGAGAGAACAAAUUCAGCUGAGAGUCAGAAAGCAAUAAAACCCUAUAAAACUAAAGCCCCAAGUGGUAACCAUGGCAGCACUGCUGGCAAGAUGCAACUGACACAAAGGAAGAACGUUUUCUGCAUUUUUCCCAAAAAGCAGCAGUUGAAAGGCUCUCAGUCAGCACCUGAACUCUGGCUCUCACUCCCACCUGGCUGCUGCAGAGCUGCACCUUCCAGGCACCCCUAACCCAGAGGGGUUGUGCCUGGGGUGCAGAAACAGGCAGACCAGGUCUUUGAGUUAUGGAUUUAGCAAUAAAUGAUAAUGAUUUUUGCCUUUGUGUAAGCUAAAGUAGAGGGAAAGAAGAAAGCAAAACAAAACCCUUGCCUCAUUUCCUGUUGUGUUUUGAGGUUUCUUACCAACACUGAAAACCACAGUUCAUUACGGGAAGUUUUAGUGGUCUGUGUCUGUCAGUGUUUUAAAUCGGUAUUUGGCAUCAGCAAAUGAGACACUUUUCCCUUGAAGUAGGAGGGGAAUUUCACCCUUUUGUGUGUUUUGUUUGAGAAACUGUAUAUUCACAUUUCUUGUCAAGUUUCUCCUUUAUAAGCAUUGCAAGAAAUCUGUAUAAACAAAACCAGAAAAGACUUUUUCCUGCAAGUUCUAU
ensembl:lncRNA